AGCGAACGCUGGCGGCAGGCCUAACACAUUCAAGUCGAACGGAUCCUUCGGGAUUAGUGGCGGACGGGUGAGUAACACGUGGGAACGUGCCCUUUGGUUCGGAACAACUCAGGGAAACUUGAGCUAAUACCGGAUGUGCCCUUCGGGGGAAAGAUUUAUCGCCAUUGGAGCGGCCCGCGUCUGAUUAGCUAGUUGGUGAGGUAACGGCCCACCAAGGCGACGAUCAGUAGCUGGUCUGAGAGGAUGAUCAGCCACACUGGGACUGAGACACGGCCCAGACUCCUACGGGAGGCAGCAGUGGGGAAUCUUGCGCAAUGGGCGAAAGCCUGACGCAGCCAUGCCGCGUGAAUGAUGAAGGUCUUAGGAUUGUAAAAUUCUUUCAGCGGGGACGAUAAUGACGGUACCCGCAGAAGAAGCUCCGGCUAACUUCGUG
rnacentral:rRNA from 1 species